GUGUAGAUCCGUAGGAGGGGGUGAGGGGAGACCAGAGGCUGUUGGGAGCUUUCUUGGAGGAGGAGAAGCGCAAGAACCCCAAGCUUAGCCCGAUUCGUCCAACCUAAAGGAUUUGGGGCCAUCCCAAUACACGCAUAGGGCACAUAAGACUCCAGAAGUCCCACGAGAGGGUGGCGGAGCAGCAGGCAUCUUUCCCCACCCUGGCAGCAUGGUGUCUCCUGGCUCUCCUUGUUGUCCUUCCUACUCAAAGAGGACCAAUGACAUCAUAAUGUUGGGGUCAUUGUACAGUGUGUCCAACUGUGGCCGAUCAAACCAAUAGGAAUUCAGAAGCCUCUACCACAGCUUUUGUGGAUGAGGUCUCUGCCCCCUGUUUCCUUAAGUUUACGCGGAGUCAACAUUCUUCUACGGGUAAACUGCUCCAUGGCCUGAGUAGCACCCUCUGCAAAGCCUUGCUGUUUCUCCUUGGACUUGUCUGCAUUUUUCAUUAAAGUGUCUUUGCUGUCACUCAGAAUGACUGAGGAUCAAAAGCCCUGAAGGAUGCAAAAACUCCAGAUCAGAACAGUGAUGGCUGGGGAGGGGCUGCAGGGUUGGAAUGUUUUACAACAUUAGAUGUGAGGUGGUGCUCAGAGUGCUGAGCCUGGAGUCAGGAA